rnacentral:lncRNA from 1 species
GGUGCCGUGCUCGGGAGAGACAGAGUUCACGGGAGGGGAGGGGAGGAAAAGGAGAGAAGAAAGAAAAGAGGAGGAAGAGAUAACUUACAUGUGUGCCCCACACGUAAGUUAACGGUCAAACAUAACAGUCAAACAAACGGUUUGCUUAAGGGUGGGUCCGACCUGUCAUAAACAUUAUCAAUUUUAUAACACAUGAUGAUUUGGGUUUUUUGAAACAGCCGAUCCCUGAGUUAGUAGUUAUCAGCGAAAAAAUAAAAUCCGGUAGUUUUUUGGAAUCCUAACCUGAAUUGUAGUAGUUUUAUGCUAUUUACUCACUGCAAACUGAAUUACUUCCUUUGUGCUUGCGUACCAUGAAGAUGGGCAGUGAGCUAUCAAAAAAGUAUGUAACUAACCAUCUCAAUCGUCAUCUAAAUAUUAUCACAAUCUUUCUUUUUUGUUUAGCCUAACAAAUGUCAAAUUGUUUCUUUUCAAAAAGCAAAUUUUGCUGUCUGAAGUUUGUUUGGAACACUAUAUUACGAAUUUACUAUCAGUUCACAGGUUCUUGAUUAUCUCUAGCCUACUCUGCUACGCAGUGAUCUGGCCAUUUUUUUACUCAGGUUGUCGUUUGCUCAUUGCUGUCCUAGCUGUGCUUCUUCCUUCUGGUAAUGCACUGCUCCUUAGCUUGUUUCUUUGUAUUUCUUAUGAGUCCUACGUUUUGCGUAUGUUGCUGCCUCUGCAAUUGAUAGUAUGUGCUUUCUUUUGCUUGGUAUAAUUUGGUGGGUGUGUUUCCUGGCGCUAGGCCUACUUUUGUCUAUGGUUGAGCUAUCUGCAUAUACCAUGGGCUGUGCGCUUGUGUACUGACGAUGAUUUUGGCAUGGUUUAUUGUCUAUUCUUUCUGCUAGAUUAGCUUACAAUAAGAUUGGUGCAGUGGAGGUAAAACUACAUUGUCUGGUUGUGUAUCUUAGUUUGGCUAAAAGCACAGCAUGUCAAAUUGAUCGGUGGCCAUCUUCCCCAGUUUCUGCAUAUUUAUUAUUGGAAAGAGAACCAGGAUACUCAUUGAUUAAUAAAAGCUUUAUAGCUUUGUUCUCCUUUCAUUCAUUUCUUCAGUAUUAUUCUCUUGGAUUGAAGGUAUUAUUGUGAUGCCGUCCUGUUGUUCUGUAUGUAGUGGAUGGCCUUUCAGACAUGUUUUAAUGCGUUGAUAGAUUGAUGCGCUUUAUGUCUGCAUUGUUGUGCCUGUGUUCUUACACUUUUGUCUAUGUUUAUUUUGCCGGUUAGACGAACUGCUCUGUUCCUAGACCUGCAGCUCAUUUCUGCUCCUCAAGAUUUGCUCUCCUUUUCUUCUGCAUGUUCAUUAUUUGUGGCUACAGAUAUAUUUAUCUUCCUGCGCGUAACUGAUGUCUAGCAUUGCUGAAAAUACCUUCAUCAGAGCUGGUCUCCAUGCCUUCAUCAGAGCUGGUCUCCAUGCCUUCAUCAGAGCUAAUGUUCACACGAUCAUUCAUGCAAGCUCCCCUCAUGCUCAGCCGUGGUGGAAACCUAAAACAACAUAGAUUUUCAGUCAGCACAGACUAAUAAGCCACAUUACUGUAACGGCGUGUAAAUAUGCCAGAGGUUUUGAAUGGGGCUUUAUACCACCAAAUUAGGAUGUGUGUAUAUAUCUCAUUGUACACAACAAGACACCAUUUUUUCGACUUAAGGAGAUUAUGUUUAUUAUGAUAUGUACUUGGCCAUAGCUAGGCUUACUAAAACAUAUACUCUGUGUUAUCAAAGUAAAAUAUGUAUACACAUCUCUGUGCUAUUAAAGGAGAUUCAACUAUGGAUAAUUUUUCAUCGCACACAUGGAU